CUGCUGGUAUCAAUAGCACCUCUGCAAACAACUACAUGCGAGCUGAUGGACAGAACACUGGCAAUUUCCUUACGGAUAGGCCAUCGACCAAGGUUCAUGCGGUCCCUGGGGGCGGUUCGUCGCUUGGAUACCUCUUCGGUGGGGGUAGCAACUGAGCCACCGAACCACUUAGUCACUGAGCCAAUUCAUUGUUUACCUUUCCUAUCGUAUCCUCUCCCUCUUAUGUGAAGAAAGCCCUUUGUCUGUUAUUCUUGCGGAAACUGUUUUGUUUGUAAUGUCUGUAAGCCGAUGAUGUUUUGUAUGGUAAACCAAACACACACACACAAAAAAAAAAAAACUAUGUUGAAAAUCAUUGCCAUUAUGCAAUUGUUAAGUUA